rnacentral:lncRNA from 1 species
CUGACUGUCAGCCAGCAUGGGUCGGCGCUCGUCUGACAGUGAGGAUGACAGCCGGAGCAAGAGGAAGAAGAAACAGCGUCGUCGGUCAUCCUCCUCUUCCUCGUCUUCGUCUUCGUCCUCUGGGAGCAGGGUGAACAGCAGCCGGAGUCGGAGGUCCAGUCGCCGGAGCCGUUCUCGCUCCAGAGACAGAGACAGGAGGAGAAAACGACGUUCCAGCAGCAGUUCGUCCCACAGUUCACCCCGCAGGAAAAGGAGUCGCAGCGCGGAUAGAGACAAAGGGAGGAGCCACCGCUCACACAGGUCACGCAGCCGGGACAGAAGGUCUCAUUCUCGCCACCGGCGGUCUCGCAGCAGGAGUGACAGCCGCAGCCAGCGAGGAAGCCGCAACCGCAAAAAGAGCCGCAGCCACAGUCGCCGGAGGAGCCGCAGCAGAGACCGGGACCGGAGCCGACGCAAAGGCCGUGACCGCGAGAGGGAGAAAGAGAAGGACAGGGACAGAGGGAGGGACAGAAACAAGGACAGAGAGAAGGAAAAGAAUAAAGACAAGGCAGACAAAAAGGGGUAAGUGAUGAAUGACUUCCUACAUACGAACACACAUGUUCAGGUAGACACAAAACACACCAAACAAGUGUUGGGUUGGCCCAGCUCAAUCUAAACUGCAGUACAGCCUCAAAUAUGGAGCUCAGUCUUGGCUCCUCCACCUGUCCAUCCAUCACUUGAUCCUUCCAUCGAUCAGUCCAUCAUUCCCUUUCUUCCUCAAUUUCCCCCUGCAAUCAAGCAUAAGGCUACACUGGCCUUGUAAUGUGAUAUAACUCCCUCUUGCAAGAGAAGAUGUCAUGGAGAUGCUGCACAGGUCAAGUUUUUUGGGGAAUGUUUGGUCACCAGAUGAUGUCUGAUGACUUUAAGUCUACUUUUCACCCUCUGGACCCACCUGCAAUAAGCUGAGAAACAUAACAACAUCAUAUGCAUCUCUGAUGUACUUAUACCAAAAAAAAACAACAAUAAUGAGAGCUACUUAUUAA